rnacentral:lncRNA from 1 species
GUGUUUCUGUAGGGCAAUAUGAAUGUGCAAAAACAAAGCUUGUGUCAAUUUCAUGCUUCUUUUAGGGUGAACCAGGAACUGUUGGUCCUCCUGGGCUCCCGGGUGUUCCAGGAUGCAAUGGCACAAAGGUACAAACCAAGCUGAGUGUUCUGGAGAGUGCGUUUGGCUGUGCUUGGCAAUGGCCAAAAAGUGUUCUAAAUUUUGCCCAAUAUACAACUUUGACUUGUUUUGCUUUGUGAUUUUAUCAGCUAGAAAAACUUGUAUCAUGGAACCAGAGGAAGGAAAAGUGCUACCUUUUUGUGCAAAAUAAAUACUUAAAUAAUACAUGCCAAUGGCCUUUGCUAAAAGAUAAUAACGUUUGGUAUUUUGACAGAUAAUACUUUUUUCAGUAAAUCCAGAAGGCCUAAUAAGUUUCAUCCAACAUGUCCUUUUGCUGCAAUGGGUUAUAAAGGAGGUAGUUAAUUAAUUUUAUUUCACUUGCAGUUGGCAAUUCAUAAAUCCUAAAAGUAAUUAAAAGAAAAGUCUUAAUGUUAAGUUACAGAUUUACCAGGUUUUCUUUGCUCUAUGAGCAUUCUGAAAGAGGGAGUCAGAAUAAUGCCUACUACAGAAAAUCAUAGAUUUCUAGUGAAUCUGUAAACUUAUCUGAACAGUCUAGCAUAGAAGUCAAGCUGCAUAAAAUGGGAUGAUCCUCUUCUAGCAAAAUACAGUGGUCAUGCACUCCCAGUGCAUUUAGUGUGAUAGCAUAAAAAACUUCUUCUGUAAUCACAUUUGCCAAAAUCAGGCCAAAUAAUAAACCAUAAUCUGCAUUAACAAUCACUGUUACUACUUUCAGGGUGACCAAGGAUUUCCAGGUCCUCCAGGUCAAAGAGGUGCUCCAGGCCUUCCAGGUAUUGCUGGUAUCAAAGGAGAGAAGGUCAGUUAUUUGCAUCAUAUUACACAAAGUAUUUAUUGGUUAUCAACAAUUUGUGUGUGUGUUUGUUGCUCCUAACCUCUCCAUUCAUGGGAAACAGAAGGUUUGCCUUCCAGAGGAAGCAACCACAAAGUUUGGUGCUUCCAUUGUCCUAGCAGCAUUCACCUCAGGUUGCAAAAUGGUCUAUUAUUUCUUUUCCCUCAAACUACUGUUACUGCAUAUAAUGAAUUUAACACUUUCAAGCACACAAAGAAUUAAGCUCCUCUCCCAAACAGUUCAUGAAUUCAUAUGGAAAUCUGCAGAUGCUCUAGACAGUAUUUUAUAGGGAUAAAAAGUAACAAAAAUAAAUUGAAGACAAGGACAGUGCAUGAGUAAUGUAGGUAUAUCUGAAAAGAAGACUGCUCCUAACAGAGAACUGGAAGGCCUGCACAAGGUAUAUUUGGUUUAAUAAAAUCUUUUUUAUAGUUAGAACUAUCCAUAGUGGACCAUUUCUAUCAUUAUGCCAUUCUGAUGUUAAUUUCCCUACAAACUGUAUUAGAGGACUUGUUGCACUACAGAGUUUACAGCAUAAGUUUUAAUGUUUCUUUUUAUUUAAUUGUCCAGGGGUGCCCUGCAGAAGGAUAUAGCCAAGAGUAUGGUGGAAAAGGUGAUCCUGGAUUACCAGGAAUGCCUGGUCUCCAGGUAACUCAAAAUUAAGACAGUGAGGUAGAUAUGUAUAAAAAUAUACAGUAAUAUGUAUAAACACAUUCUAUAUAACAUGAGUAUUUAUUAAAAUUAUUUUGCAUUUUACAUAAUUUAAGUGUAUUAUUUAUUUAAUAUAGAUAUAGCAUUUUUUACAAUUAUGUCACUGAUUUCUAAACCAAAACCAGUCAGUUUUCAGGCCAGUCAGGUUGCAGGCCAUCUAAUCCAACUCCUAAAAUUCCCAUCAAAGUUAAGACUGAACAGGUUAGACCAGCUCAACUUCUAGAGUAAUAACAAAGCACAGGAAUGUCCAUAUUUCAAGAAUGAACAUUAACAGGGGAAGGCAAGGCUGAAUUUUCUUCUGACUAUUGGAAUAAACAGAGAGCAUUAAAUUUAAAAGAAAAUAAAAGUGCUUAAUUUUCCAUUUCUUUGAAAAUUAAGCUUUAAAGUAUAGGAUUUAUUGCACAGAAUAUUUGAAGGAUUGAGGGCUUAUUAGAGGCAUUAAUAGGACCAUAUGGAUUAUAAGUUCACAUUUCUCAGGGGACUUACAUCCUCACUUGAGUAGUUUAGUUUUAGAACAGAUGUUUUCUCAUGUUUCAAAACAUAUGCCAAACGAUGAAGCAAUGAGGAAGAAUUAUACUUCUGUGUUCUCAUGACAAAGGAAAAGGAAAUUCAGAAGCAAAGCUGCUCCUCUGUUUCUUAUUCAGUUCAUUGAAUUUAGUGUUGUGUUUCGCUCAUAAUCUUCCCAGGAGAUUUAUUCCUGUUUCUUUUUCGAUAUGCAGGGUGCCCAGGGUGCUCAAGGAUAUCCUGGGGAACUUGGACCACAGGGCCCUCCAGGACCUUUAGUAUGAAUUUAUGUCUCACUUGUUACUUUGACCUUUGAUUUUCCCCGAACCCUAUGGAAUUACACAGAUACAAGUACUUGACUCUCCCAGAUUUAUUUGAGGUCUAGGCACAUGUGUAUGUAAAAACUAUGCUUAUCUGCACACAUCUGAUAUUUUUUCAGUUGCUUUUGAUUAUUUUUAUGCAUGAUAAUUUCUAUAUUUUCAGAAGCAUCCCUUGUCCAUGUAGGCAUAAAUUUCAAUUUUCAAAUGACUACCCAUUAAUUCACUUUAAAUACUAAAAUGUAUAACAUUGAGAGAUGCAUAUGUUUGCAACUAGACUGUGUAAACAGUCUGUCAGCCACUGGUAAUGACUUGUGGCUGUAAAGGUGGAAGAAAAAGUAAAAAUGUGAUACAAGUUCUGUGAAAGUUGGGUGCUUCAAAACACCUAUAUCAGAGCAGAAGAUUGUAAAUUUUUUACCUGAGGAUUUUUUUUUUUUUCCUUUUUUGUAGGGCAUGCCAGGGAAACCAGGACCUCCUGGACCUAAGGUAGUCUCAGAUUGGUAAUAAAAAUGAAAACUUCUGUUACGUGUAACAUAAAUUAACUCAUGUUGUAGGUGUUUGUAAAAUAAAAAAAAUAACAUUUGGGGAUUUUUUUUUCAGGGUCUUAUGGGACUGAAAGUAAUAGGAGCCAAAGGAAGAAAGGUAAUUUCUUAAGAAGCUUUAAACAUUUUAUAAGUUUUGUUUCUGUUUUAUGCAUUUUCUGAUAUGC